rnacentral:rRNA from 1 species
CAUGCAAGUCGAGGGGCAGCAUGUUGGUUGCUUGCAACCAAUGAUGGCGACCGGCGCACGGGUGAGUAACGCGUAUCCAACCUACCCUUGUCCAUCGGAUAACCCGUCGAAAGGCGGCCUAACACGAUAUGCGGUUCUCAGCAGGCAUCUAACGAGAACGAAAUGUGAAGGAGAAGGAUGGGGAUGCGUCUGAUUAGCUUGUUGGCGGGGUAACGGCCCACCAAGGCGACGAUCAGUAGGGGUUCUGAGAGGAAGGUCCCCCACAUUGGAACUGAGACACGGUCCAAACUCCUACGGGAGGCAGCAGUGAGGAAUAUUGGUCAAUGGACGAGAGUCUGAACCAGCCAAGUAGCGUGCAGGAAGACGGCCCUAUGGGUUGUAAACUGCUUUUAUAGGGGGAUAAAGUGUGCCACGUGUGGCAUAUUGCAGGUACCCUAUGAAUAAGGACCGGCUAAUUCCGUGCCAGCAGCCGCGGUAAUACGGAAGGUCCAGGCGUUAUCCGGAUUUAUUGGGUUUAAAGGGAGCGUAGGCCGUUUGGUAAGCGUGUUGUGAAAUGUCGGGGCUCAACCUGGGCAUUGCAGCGCGAACUGCCAGACUUGAGUGCGCAGGAAGUAGGCGGAAUUCGUCGUGUAGCGGUGAAAUGCUUAGAUAUGACGAAGAACUCCGAUUGCGAAGGCAGCCUGCUGUAGCGCAACUGACGCUGAAGCUCGAAAGCGUGGGUAUCGAACAGGAUUAGAUACCCUGGUAGUCCACGCGGUAAACGAUGGAUGCUCGCUGUUUGCGUCUGACGUAAGCGGCCAAGCGAAAGCGUCAAGCAUCCCACCUGGGGAGUACGCCGGCAACGGUGAAACUCAAAGGAAUUGACGGGGGCCCGCACAAGCGGAGGAACAUGUGGUUUAAUUCGAUGAUACGCGAGGAACC